UUUAUUCAUGUUGAUUAUUUUUAUUCUUGAUCAUUGUUUGUCAAUUAUUAUUAUGUAUUUUUGUUACACAGCUCGCAAUCCACUUAUUAUACUUACAUCACACAAUCAACCAAACAUUGGUUCACGACUAUUUUUUUUUUUUUGCAAACAGUGCUCUCUUUCGCUUUCUCUUUCUCGCAACUGACGACUUCUUUUCCGUGGCUUCCGUCACUCGUUUUGAUAUUUGAACAGUUAAAUAAAAACAUGAACCUUCAAUAAACGAAAACUGCAAAGGUACCAAUUCACUAUUGUUCGUUAGUCGUGUUUAAAAAAAAAACGCAUUUUACUGGUUCUUAUUUUCUGUUUGAUGUGAACAUAUUUAAUUACUAUUAUUUAUUUUGUGUAUGCGCUUUCUACCCGGUUUCAAGUGUAAUAUGGACAAUCCUGCAGCUACUUUACAACAACACAGCGUUCGAAAGUUGUAUGAACCAAUCGCUCAACAUCGUCGUGUUUGCGUUAUUACUUGAGUUCCAUAUUGUUUGUUAUUGUUGUUUCCGUAAUUAUUGUAUGUUAGCUAGUUAUGAAUAUGUUUAUUAACUAUUAGAGAAGGAGUGGAGUUAGGGGGCGGGGAUGUAUCAUAAGUUUUUUUUGUUUAAGUUCUAUACAUUGCACAGUGGCUUUCCUACAGACGCUUCUCUUUCUUCUAACGAAACAUGAGAAAUUGAAACUAUGUAGAUUAUCUAAAAUAAACUUAAGCUAACUACAACAUAAAACUAAACGAUAGUUUGAACAGCCUGAUUGCGUAAUUUUUUACAUAAAGAAAACAGAAAAAAAAAACUUAAUAAAUCUAAAGCUCUCACGUUUCUACCGGUGGGACUUGGUGUGAAUUUAUUGUACAUCUCUCAUCUCUCCCCAGCAUCCGUCAGAUUUUGCGACUAGAGCGAUUCUCGAUUAGGUACGGGUUUUGUUUUUAAGGAUAUUUGUGGAGCCCACAUCUUUGGGAUUAAAUAAUUCGCACAAGCGCUUUCGACAAGCAUUGGAAGCCAUGAAGUUCUAGGGAAGAAGGAGAUUUAGAAGUCUUGUUAGUAAAAGGGUGGAACGGUCAAAAAUUGGUCGACUCAAAUUUGGCGAAUUCUUUUUAAUCGUGCAUUUAAAAAACUUGCACUCCACUUAUUUUGUAGGUCUGUACGUACGGACUGUUGCCUCUAUUUUGUUUUUGCCAUUUUCCUUUCAGUUGUCAAAAUGACAUCGAAGCAAGAGAAACAGCGUAUCAAAAUUUUGCUCGCGCAUAAGCGCAUAAGAAAUCCAAAUUAUUCCCACGCAGAUUGAUUGCGUCUCAAAUUGGAUUGCGUUAUAAUGAACGAUGAAGUAUACGUCAAGGCGGAUUUCAAGCAGCUCCCAGGUCAAGAUACCCGGCUACCGGGAAAGGUAAGAUAAGUUUAAGCAGAAGAAGUUGUCAAAGUUCCCGAAAAAAUACUUGGUUUGGCAGGCCAUUUGCACCUCUGGGCUGAAAAGCGAAAUUUUCGUAACAACUGGCAUUGUCAAUCAAGAUAUUUAUGAAAAGAAAUUUGCAAAAACGAUUGAUGCCAGUUGUUCCGCGCUGUUUUGGCCAGACCUCGCUUCCUGUCACUACGGGGAAAUGGCUCACCGGUAUACCGCCAACAACGUGCAAGUCGUAACCAAGGACAAAAACCCUCCAAACUCGCCGGAGCUGCGCCCAAUCGAAAAAUAUUGGGCAAUCGUGAAACGGAACCUAAAGAAAUCUCAGAAAACAGUUACAGUUCAAAGCAAAUAAGGUUGAUACAACAGUGGUUCAAAAUCUGAUAAAAGGUGUGAAACGUAAAGCCCGACAUUUCGCAUUUUGAAAUUCGGAAGCCUAAUCAAACAAUUUUCCUGUAGAUUGAUAAUGUAUACAACAACAUAAUCAGUGUGCCGUUAAUCAUGAUUGACCAAUUUUUGACCGUUCCACCCUUUAGUCUUGUGAUAGUUUGAUAAGAUGGAAUUGUACGGAAUUUCACGAAACUUUUGGGUUUUGACUAUGAAAACAGGAGAAUUAUGGAAGUUUAACAUUCGGAAAAUUGUUUUGCUGGCCAAAUCUCACAUUUGAAUACAAUAUUUGCUGUUUCUGGGCCUGGCGAGGUUUCUGAUAGCUAUUGCCGGAAAUUGAAAAUUUCGUUUCGUAUCGUUUAGACAAAAAUUGGCCAAAGCUAAGUUUAUGAUUACAGAAUAUUUUGAAGGAAAUUAUGCAAACAAUUUGAAUUAAUAGGCUCUUACAGACCCACGCAUAAUAACAAUAAGGUAAACGAAUCCAAAUUGUGAAAGUUUCAAAGAAUUUCAUACCGCAUACCUCUAUUAAAAAUCCUUCCAGUGCUGAGAUUUGCCUUUGUCUGACAGACUUUCGCGGGAUAUUGACAAAAUUAUUUAUUGCGUAGUCACUGAUAAAAUUGAUUCUAAAAAAAAAACGUUUGUCAAAAUCUCAUUCAUUUUUUUCGUAAAUGACAAAGUUUCAGUUGACAACCAAACGUUUGAUUUCGUGCAUUCUGUGUCACAUUAUAGUUAUCCAGGCAGUUCAGGACGUAGAUGCUUGUUUCACGGUUCCAUGUAAUUGUUUUGCUCAAGUCAUAUAAUUUCGUUACCAAUUUAGCUAAUACAAAAAAUCUGAACAUGUUCAUCACUGACAGCAUUGCCACUGACAAUUGACAUAGCUUGCCUUAACGAUGACUGUUAGCUCAAAUAAGUGACCAAAGCAGAAUUUUGAAUAUCGCCGUGCAUCGAGAUUUUGCAGCACUGAAUCCUUCCGUUAAAACGAGGACAACAUAUCAAGAAGACUGGCAACUCUUCGUUUUCUCAUACAACCUCUAUAAGACAGGAACAAUCGAGUCAUCUGUCGCUCAAAGGUAAACGCUUCGAACGAAGUUGAUAGCAAAGAUUACAACCUAAGAAGAAAGGCUUGUGUAUUUGCUCAUAUUUCUAUACGCUGCUUCCACCUUCACCCAAGUGCAACGCUACUGUAUGUGUCGCUUGGACUCCGGCAAAGUUGCCAGUCUUCUUGAUAUGUUGUCUUCGGUUAAAAAAGAAUAUGGAU